rnacentral:lncRNA from 1 species
CUGGCCAGAGCCUCGAAGGUCUCUCAUUUGAGGGACUUUUUUUUUUAAGUUUCAGUUUUAUGUCAUUAGAUUAAUACAUUCACAGUCAAUUGAUAUUAUCGCUUAUGUCUUUUUAACCCCCAAAUUGUAGUCAGUUUAAAGAACAUUGCAAUUAUUUCAAAAAUAAAGUUUUAUGCAUUGCUGUGAUUCAGAAAAAGAGUCCCUUUCAAAGAAAAAUGGUUUUUAAUUUUAACUUUGUAACGAAGCAUCCAUUCCCUAUUGAAUUAAUAAUCGAGCACUGAACAUAAAAGACUGGGGUGUUUCUAGGUUCUGUCACUUUCCACACAGAUUACCUCAGGUGACUGAUAGCCUGGUGGCUCUGACAGACUACUUAGCCUCCCAAAGUUUCCGUUUUGUCACCUAGCCGAAGUGUGACGGUAGGCCCAACUCACAGGCUUGCUCUGUGUGCGUGUAUAUGUACGAUGUGUAUGGUGUGUAUUUUUACGUGUGUGUACAGUGAACAUUGUGUGUACGGGUGUAUGAUGUGUGUUUGUGUGUAUGUGUAUGGUGUGUUUUUUUGUGUGUGUAUGUGUAUGGCACGUAUUUGUGUGUAUGUGGUGUGUAUUGGUGUGUAUGUGGUGUGUAUUGGUGUUUGUGUAUUUGUGUGCGUGUAUUUGUGUGUGUAUGGUGUGUAUUGGUGUGUAUGUGGUGUGUAUUGGUGUUUGUGUAUUGGUGUUUGUGUAUUUGUGUGUAUAUGGUGUAUAUUAGUGUUUGUGUAUUUGUGUGUAUAUGGUGUGUAUUGGUGUUUGUGUAUUUGUGUGCGUGUAUUUGUGUGUGUAUGGUGUGUAUUGGUGUGUAUGUGGUGUAUAUUGGUGUUUGUGUAUUUGCGUGCGUGUAUUUGUGUGUAUAUGGCGUGUAUUGGUGUGUAUGUGGUGUGUAUUGGUGUGUAUGUGGUGUGUAUUGGUGUUUGUGUAUUUGUGUGUAUGUGGUGUGUAUUGGUGUUUGUGUAUUUGUGUGCGUGUAUUUGUGUGUAUAUGGUGUGUAUUGGUGUGUAUGUGGUGUGUAUGUGGUGUUUGUGUAUUUGCGUGCGUGUAUUUGUGUGUAUAUGGUGUGUAUUUGUGUGUAUGUGGUGUGUAUUGGUGUUUGUGUAUUUGCGUGCAUGUAUUUGUGUGUAUAUGGUGUGUAUUGGUGUUUGUGUAUUUGUGGGUGUGUCUGUGCGUGUGAGCGUGUGGAGGGCUUCACACAAGCCUGCGUCCGGAGUCCGGGCCGUGUUCGUUGCUGGGGUGAACUUGGAGCACACGCUGCGGAGCACAGCGCACAGUCCAUCUCCGCUCUUUAAAGCUAGCUCAGGGGACUUCAAGACAACACAACAAAUGCAGGCGGUUUCAGCUUCAAAUAUUUCAAAGGUUGGUUGGCGG